AUUUACGUGCCAAUUAUAAUAUAGGGAACUUUAAUUGAUUCAACUCCCCCGUUCCCUAAAUCUUUUCUUUCUUCUCUUUUUCUUUUUCUAUUAAUUAACUCAUCAUUUAUGUGUAUUAGGGACUCCCUUGCACGAGUACAAGAUUUUCCUUAGCCUAAUCUAGGCUUAAUACCCUAUUAUGGCAUGAAAUUUCUUAUUUUCCACCCAGAUAAACAGUAACCCGAACCGACAACGGGUUAUUUCAUCCCGGUUUUGGUCCACUUUCUAAACUCCAAAUUUUAUGAAAUUUAUACCCAAUGUUCUACACUCAUAGGGGUUUCCAGAAUGGUAACAUGCAUCCCCAUCGGAGGCCGAUUGACCCCCGAAAUAAUUCACCGAAGUUGGGACUUCGACACGGUUUUUCCGUAGUGCCGGAAAAAUUUGUCGAAAUCCGAUUCUUCCUCUUUUAACACCCUUUUUCAACUGUCAUCAACCCUUUCUAUAGCAUAAAUUCUUUAGAAUACUAGGUAGGGACGGGUAUUUAUCUUUUUCUUCUUGUGAAACUUGGGUCCUUGCGUAGAGGGGAAGGAGACCUACGUUUUUUUCUUCAGCUCGGAGCGCAACCGGGAUCCCUCUCCUCCUCGAAUCCCCUUCCUCUUCUUCUUUCUUCUUCUUCUUCUUCUUUUUUCCUUCUUUCUUUCCUCUCUGCGUCUCUGACUCUCCCUCUCUGUUACUCUCUCUCGGUUUCCAUCCAAAAGCCACAGCAAACCCCCUUAAUUAAGUCACAUCAAAACACUAUUCACCCUUUGUUUAAUAUUAUUAAAUUCCCAUUUUGCCCCUAACACUUCAACAUAUCUACUGUUAUGCCAUUAACUUUUGAUUCCUUCCAAUUUUACCCCUUAUAUCAAUUUUAAAGGACUAUUCUAUCCCUUUUUAUAUAAAAAAAAAAUUUUGGGGUUAUUACAUCCUCCCCUCCUUAUAUAAAAUUCGUCCUCGAAUUUAAAAGAGUAAAUUACCUGAUUACUCAAAGAGGUGAGGGUAUUUGCUCUUCAUACUUUGCUCCGACUCCCAAGUGCAUUCUUCAACAUUGUGUCGGUGCCAUUGGACCUUUACCAUACAUAUUUUCUUAUUUCUUAGCUUCCUGAUCUGAGUAUCAAGGAUAGCUACAGGAAGCUCUUCAUAAGAAAGGUCUU
rnacentral:lncRNA from 1 species